rnacentral:RNase_P_RNA from 1 species
GGAGAGGCCCGGGCGGCCGCUCCGCCGGCUUGCCGCGCGGGGAGGAAAGUCCGGACUCCACGGGUCAGGGUGGUUGCCAACGGCAACCGGCCGCGAGGCCAGGGAAAGUGCCACAGAAAACAAACCGCCUCGUGCUCUCGGGCUCGGGGUAAGGGUGAAACGGUGCGGUAAGAGCGCACCGCAGCUCCGGUGACGGCGCUGGCAGGGCAAACCCCACUCGGAGAAAGGCCAAAUAGGGAAGGCGCCUGGUGAUGACCCGCAUCAUGCCUUCCGGGUAGGUCGUUCGAGGCCGCGGGCGACCGCGGUCCCAGAGAAAUGGCCGCCACGUCCCUGCUUGGGACGGACAGAAUCCGGCUUAGAGGGCCUCUCCUGUC